rnacentral:rRNA from 1 species
GAUGGGCAUGCGUGACAUUAGCUAGUUGGUGAGGUAACGGCUCACCAAGGCAACGAUGUCUAGGGGUCCUGAGAGGGUUAUCCCCCACACUGGUACUGAGACACGGACCAGACUCCUACGGGAGGCAGCAGUAAGGAAUAUUGGUCAAUGGGCGCAAGCCUGAACCAGCCAUGCCGCGUGCAGGAAGACGGCCCUAUGGGUUGUAAACUGCUUUUGUCAGGGAAUAAACCUAUCUACGUGUAGAUAGCUGAAGGUACCUGAAGAAUAAGCAUCGGCUAACUCCGUGCCAGCAGCCGCGGUAAUACGGAGGAUGCAAGCGUUAUCCGGAUUCAUUGGGUUUAAAGGGUGCGCAGGCUGAUUAUUAAGUCAGGGGUGAAAUCUCUCGGCUCAACCGAGAAACUGCCUUUGAUACUGAUAGUCUAGAGUAUAGUUGAAGUUGGCGGAAUGUGUCAUGUAGCGGUGAAAUGCUUAGAUAUGACACAGAACACCGAUCGCGAAGGCAGCUAGCUAAGCUAUAACUGACGCUCAUGCACGAAAGCGUGGGGAUCAAACAGGAUUAGAUACCCUGGUAGUCCACGCUGUAAA